CGUAUAUUAAAGCUGUUGCAGUUAAAAAGCUCGUAGUUGGAUUUCUGGUACAACGCGCCUGGCCCGCUUUUAGUGAGUGCCGGUGCGCGUUUGCCAUCCUUCUAGAAAACGUUUCUACCUGGGCAACCGGGCCGGACUCGCGAUCUAGAUCUUUUACUUUGAAAAAAUUAGAGUGUUUAAAGCAGGCUUUUGCUGUGAAUACAUUAGCAUGGAAUAAUAAUCUAGGACUUCGGUUCUAUUUUGUUGGUUUCUAGUACUGAAGUAAUGAUUGAUAGGGAUAGUUGGGGGUGCUAGUAUUGGCCGGCCAGAGGUGAAAUUCUUGGAUUCGGUCAAGACUAACUUAUGCGAAAGCAUUCACCAAGGAUGUCUUCUUUAAUCAAGAACGAAAGUUGGGGGAUCGAAGACGAUCAGAUACCGUCGUAGUCUCAACCAUAAACUAUGCCAACUAGGGAUGGGUGAACGUUGUUUUUUUGACUUCAUCUGCACCUUAUGAGAAAUCAAAGUCUUUGGGUUCCGGGGGGAGUAUGGUCGCAAGGCUGAAACUUAAAG
rnacentral:rRNA from 1 species